rnacentral:rRNA from 1 species
UUUCGAAUUAUUCACAAUGGGCGAAAGCCUGAUGGUGCAACGCCGCGUGAGGGAAGACGGUCUUCGGAUUGUAAACCUCUGUCACUGGGGACAAAACCCCGGGUUCAUAGCCCGGCUUGAUUUAACUCGGAGCGGAAGUAGUGGCAAACUCUGUGCCAGCAGCCGCGGUCAUACAGAGACUACGAACGUUACUCGGAUUCACUGGGCGUAAAGGGUGCGCAGGCGGUUGGGUGUGUUAGGUGUGAAAUCUCGGGGCUUAACCCCGAAACUGCGCUCGAAACUAUCCAACUUGAGUUUUGGAGAGGUAAGCGGAAUUCUAGGUGUAGCGGUGAAAUGCGUAGAUAUCUAGAGGAACACCAAUGGCGAAGGCAGCUUACUGGCCAAAAACUGACGCUCAUGCACGAAAGCGUGGGGAGCAAACA